rnacentral:rRNA from 1 species
UACGUAGGGUGCAAGCGUUAAUCGGAAUUACUGGGCGUAAAGCGUGCGCAGGCGGUGAUGUAAGACAGUUGUGAAAUCCCCGGGCUCAACCUGGGAAUUGCGAUGGAGACUGCAAGGCUAGAAUCUGGCAGAGGGGGGUAGAAUUCCACGUGUAGCAGUGAAAUGCGUAGAGAUGUGGAGGAAUACCGAUGGCGAAGGCAGCCUCCUGGGCCAACACGUGACGCUCAUGCACGAAAGCGUGGGGAGCAAACAGG